UGUUGCAGUUAAAAAGCUCGUAGUUGGAUCUGGGUCGCAUGGCUACAUGCUGUUCUUGUACACUUGACUUUGUUGAGUGUGCGGGUCGGCGUCGUGGUUGUGCAGCCUUCCUGCCGUGUCUGUUUCGACAGGUGCUGGGUAAGUCUACUAGAUUUCUCGGCAUGCUUCCAGAUGCCUUUAACCGGGUGUCGGGAGCGGACGGCACGUUUACUUUGAACAAAUUUGAGUGCUCAAAGCAGGCCGUUGAGCCUGAAAAUUCUUGCAUGGAAUAAUGGAAUAGGACUUCGGUUCUAUUUUGUUGGU
rnacentral:rRNA from 1 species